rnacentral:lncRNA from 1 species
GUGUCUCCGGGGAUUAAGAAGAGUGCUCGUUAGAGUCCUGAUGCACAACAGGUGUGCGGGGCGAGGCGGCUCACGGGCAUGAUUGCCACAACUGUGACACAAAAUUGAUUUUCUUUCUAAAAUUUGAUUAUGCGACUUUUAAUCAGGUGUGCUCUGUAGUCCAGAAAUUACGGUAUCUGGUCAUGUACAUUUUUAAAGUUUUGUGUAAGGUUUUUUUCAGCUGUUUGUUGAACACAUUCUGCGGGGUCCUGCUCCUCACCGUGUACAGUCAACAUUUAUUUCCUGUUUUUUUAUGUUUUGUUUUUUUUAAUGAAUUGUUUUUUCUUCCUGUCUUUGUAAAACAGGCCAGUUAUAAAUCAGGAGCACUCCAAUAUUUUCAACGAGCUCUGGAGGUCCCGGUUCACCAAACUCCUGGAUAACUAUGAGAGGUCCACAGGCGUGGCCGAAGUGGUCACAGCAGUGGAGCGGACGGAGGUUAAUCUCUUCCUGGAUGCAGUUUGAGAGACAGAAGUCAUGAAGGUACAUGUUGCAGCAAGGUGCACCUAGCAGAAUAACACCUUAAUAGCUGUAUAAUUCCUGUAUAUCACUAGCAUUUUGUUUCCUAUAUUAUUUGUCUGGAUUCAAGUCUCAGAUCUUACUUAAGUGAUUCUUAUUUGUCUAUUUUCUACACAUUUGGAUGAGGCAUGACGACAAUCAUACCCAGCAAACCUGUGACCCUGUCAACACUGGAAAUCCUGACAGUAAGCGAAAUAUAUACGUAUAUAUGCUGUAUAUAUGUAUGUGUGCGUCUAUUUAUUGUAAAUGUGUUGAAACAUGAGAUUUUUAUUCAGUCAUUCAUUGUCUUACUGUCUGUGUCAUAGAAAGAACAAAUUCUGACAAGAGCUGAGGAUCCCUUGAAGUACUGGGUGGCACGAAAGACUUUAUAUCCUACGCUGUGGAAACUUGCAUGCAAGUAUCUGUGCAUCCCAGCAUCAUCUGUUCCCUGAGAAAGAUAUUUUCCAAAGCUGGGGAGCUGGUCAGCCAGAAGAGGAGCAGACUGAAGCCUGCAACAGCAGGAAAAAUGAUAUUUCCUCAAUUAAAACCUGUGAAAAGGAAAUAACUUGUCUGCUUCUGUGAAUAAUUAUUCCAAAUCAAACAUACAAGCCCCCAAAUGACAAACCAUUAUCUUUAAAGGUUUUCCUGAACAACACUUUUGACACACACACAAAACAAUGUUUUUGAAUUCAAACACCAUGAUCAUUGCAAAGUAGGAAGGAUCUUUAAUCCUGUUAGGGACUUUUAGUACAGUUUUUAAAUAAAUCUCAGUGUUCAAUAAACCCUUAACCAACAUUGAACCCUU